rnacentral:rRNA from 1 species
GAUGAACGCUGGCGGCGUGCCUAAUACAUGCAAGUCGAGCGAACAGACGAGGAGCUUGCUCCUCUGACGUUAGCGGCGGACGGGUGAGUAACACGUGGAUAACCUACCUAUAAGACUGGGAUAACUUCGGGAAACCUGAGCUAAUACCGGAUAAUAUAUUGAACCGCAUGGUUCAAUAGUGAAAGACGGUUUUGCUGUCACUUAUAGAUGGAUCCGCACCGCAUUAGCUAGUUGGUGAGGUAACGGCUUACCAAGGCAACGAUGCGUAGCCGACCUGAGAGGGUGAUCGGCCACACUGGAACUGAGACACGGUCCAGACUCCUACGGGAGGCAGCAGUAGGGAAUCUUCCGCAAUGGGCGAAAGCCUGACGGAGCAACGCCGCGUGAGUGAUGAAGGUCUUCGGAUCGUAAAACUCUGUUAUUAGGGAAGAACAAAUGUGUAAGUAACUAUGCACGUCUUGACGGUACCUAAUCAGAAAGCCACGGCUAACUACGUG